rnacentral:rRNA from 1 species
UACAGGGGGCACAAGCGUUGCUCGGAAUCACUGGGCGUAAAGCGUGCGCAGGCGGACCGUUAGGUCAUGUGUGAAAUCCCAGGGCUCAACCCUGGAAGUGCACUUGAAACCGGCGGCCUUGAGUGCGGGAGAGGUGAGUGGAAUUCCUGGUGUAGAGGUGAAAUUCGUAGAUAUCAGGAGGAACACCGGUGGCGAAAGCGGCUCACUGGCCCGACACUGACGCUCAUGUACGAAAGCGUGGGGAGCAAACAGG